CCUACGGGAUGCAGCAGUGGGGAAUAUUGCACAAUGGGGGAAACCCUGAUGCAGCGACGCCGCGUGAGUGAAGAAGCGCCUCGGCGCGUAAAGCUCUGUCAGCAGGAACGACGAUGACGGUACCUGAAGAAGAAGCCCCGGCUAACUACGUGCCAGCAGCCGCGGUAAUACGUAGGGGGCAAGCGUUAUCCGGAUUUACUGGGUGUAAAGGGAGCGCAGACGGCUGUGCAAGUCUGGAGUGAAAGGCGGGGGCCCAACCCCCGGACUGCUCUGGAAACUGUAAAGCUGGAGUGCAGGAGAGGUAAGCGGAAUUCCUAGUGUAGCGGUGAAAUGCGUAGAUAUUAGGAGGAACACCAGUGGCGAAGGCGGCUUACUGGACUGCAACUGACGUUGAGGCUCGAAAGCGUGGGGAGCAAACAGGAUUAGAUACCCCAGUAGUC
rnacentral:rRNA from 1 species